CUGACCUCAAGUGAUCCACCUACCUCAGCCUCCCAAAGUGCUGGGAUUACAGGCAUGAGCCACCACCCCUGGCCAUUUAGGCAAGGCAGCAGAAACCAUCUUAUCCACAGGCCCAAGACCUUUGGAUUUCUCAUGUCACCCCUCCUAAUUCUUUACCCUUUAGUUCAGAGUCAUAAUCAGCUUUUUACUUUUCACUGUCUACUAGCAAAGUUCUCCAAAACUUCUAAUUCAUUCAGAAAAGAUGGCUUUUGUUUUCCUUACUUAUGCUUAGAUUAGGGUUGCAUUGUCUAACCUAUAAAAGUUUGCAUCUUUAGAUAGCUACUUCUAUUUGUUAAUCCAGUGAAAGACAAUUAUGAACAAACAGCAAAAUGAAUGUUCUUUUCACUGCAUCCUUCUAGCUGCCUCUUAGCUUAUCACUGCUCACCACAGGAACUGCUUUACCCAAUUUCAGAUUUAGUUGAACCCACUUAACUUUUUUUUUUCCCGGAGUCUCGCCCUGUUGCCCAGGCUGGAGUGCAAUGGUGUGAUCUCAGCUCACUGCAAUCUCCACCUCCUGUGUUCAAGCGAUUCUCCUCCCUCAGUCUCCUGAGUAGCUGGAAUUACAGGAGCCUAUUAAUGAGCUGCCUUCCCUGAUGUCAGGACUGAAACUUGAGAAACAAGUUUCUCUGAAAUCCCUGGAUCAUCUUACAUUCUGGCAGUUUCUACCUGCUGUUAAUGAAGGACAAGUCAUCUCUUUCCAACUAGAUGGGGAACACAGACUCCUGAGAAGUCACACCUUAAAACUGAGAACAGAAGUAUGUGAGACCAGGUACCCCAACCCCCCACCUCCAACCACACACACAGAGGAAACCAGGAAUGCACAACAGCCUACCAACCUUGGCCUUCGGGUUCUCUCUCCUCCUGGGCCUUAAGGAGAGCUCACGGAGCUUGACUCAUUUCAUCGACAACUAUUAUUCUGAAGCAAAAUCAGAGGAAAAGGAGAGGGAGUCCUUGAGAGGAAGAGAAUGUGCCAGGGAGCACAGAUUUCUUUAGCCCCAACAUGCAAAGGGAGACUUUGAGCAAAAAGACUUCAAGCAUCUUGCAGAGGUGAUAGGCCUUUACACAAGACUUUAAACUCCUGCGGAUGUGGACUUGAACCAGCAUGAUCUAAUUAUUCUGGCCAUUGACUCCUCAUCAGUCUACAUGGUAGCCAUAAAUCCUGGACAGAGGUGAGUAUAUACAUAUAUAUAUAAUUGUUUACUGAUGUUUACUGAUGUUACAAGACAUUGUAUUCAAUGGCUUAUGUUAUAUGUUCAAAUUCUUCUCCCUAGUUAGCAAUGUGUGGUUCAAUGUGCUUUGACUCUUAUUUUCACAAGAUUCACCAGUGCAUUUAGCAUCCCUCAGAAGAAGUAAUUGAUGAGUUUAAAAUCUGGAGAAUGCACAGCCAAUUCCAAGUGGCCAUAUCACCCAAUCCAUCUCUGAAAAUCAGGCAUUGAACCAGUCCCUCUGCAUUCUGGCAUAAUGGGGUAACAGACAAUCCCAAUAGACUCACUUUGGGUGAUCUUCCCCUACCUUGUCAAGUGCAGGUGUUAAUUGAUUAUAAAACAUGGUCACAUAAGGCAAAAUAUUUACUCAUAUUUCCCAACUUUACAGCCACCCUAUACAUUUGUAAUUGGUUUGUCUUCCUCACUAGAAUGAACACUUCAUGAGGGAGCAGAAUGUGUCUAUCUCGUUCAUUGAUGAAUGUAUCCUUAGCAGCUAGAAACCUGUAUUUCGAUAAUAUGCUCUUCAUCUUUAAAUGCUCGAUUAAAAUCUGGGAAAGUGAGGAAGGAAGGGGAUGAAGAAUAAAUGAUUUGAAUGGGAUUGUUAUCAAACUAAAGGAAAUAAAAGGAUAGUUUGAACUGACUCAUAAGAAAGAAAUGUCUAUCCAGGUAUAGUUAGAACAGUUCUUAGGGAGAAGUUUAUCAUCUUAUCUACAUAUAAUUGAAAAUAAUAUAAGAAAAAAAUAAUAAUGAAGCACUUAUCUGAAGAUGUUGGAACAGCAAAGCAAAGUAUAAACAAAGAAAUACCAAAUAACAGUUUGUAGUAGAAAACAUACAAUGCAAGGAAGCAACAAAGUCAAAACUGUUAUUAGAAAGACUAAUAAAAUUAACACUAGUGAGACUUACUUAAAACAGAAAAGGUACAAAUAAUGAAUAUUGGAAUGCAAGGUAGCCUAAGAAAAGCAGAAAUGAAUCUUUUCAAAUAAAAAUAAGUUUUAUUUACAAAUGUUACAUACAUUUAAAAUAUCAUAAAAGAGAGGGAUGAACAAUUUAUGUCAAUAAAAGUGGACCAAAUAGAUAAACUUUUAGAAAAUAAAAGCUACUAAAACUGACUAACUGAUACAGAAAGACAUAGAAAAUAUGAAUAGUUCUAUAACUACUGGAAGGAUUAAAUCAGUUGCUUAGGCUGAGGUGUCAACCCUGACUUCUCUCUUUCUGAUACAUCCACUCUAGUAAGCAACAAAUACUGUCAGCUUAUUGGCCAAGUAUAGUCAGAAUUUGACCUCUUCCCAUGAUUUUGCUGACACGAUUCUGGUCCAAGCUGCCAUCGUCUCUCAUCUGGAUUACUGCUUCUACCCUUGCUCCCAUGAAGUCAGGGUAAUCCCUUUAAAACAGAAUUCAGACAGAGUCACCCACUGCUCUAAGCUUUCCAGCAGCCCCCAUGUGGCCCAGAUUAAAAGCCUAAGACUUCACUCUUCCUUGAGGCCCUACUUGACCUAUUCUCCUGUUAACCCUUUAGCCCUCUUCUUUUUCAGCUUCAGUAGCUUUCUUACCAAUCUUUGAACACAAGGAGCCAUUUAGGCUGUCCUAGAGUCUGUACACUUUCUGAUUUCUCUGCUUGGGAGACUCUUUCUCCUGGAAUCCACAUGACUAUUUCUCUUGCUUUUUUAAAAUAUCAACUUAAAAGCCAUCUUCUCAGGCCUUCCUUGGCCACUCAGUCCAAAAUGUUAACCUCCUGCUGUUUUGUAUUUCUUCUCUUUACUGUAUAUGGUUUUCUCUACUACACAUCACCAUUUAACUUACUAUGUAGACAAAAAAAAGUAUUGGCCAGUUGCAGUGGCUCACGCCCAUAAUCCCACCA